rnacentral:rRNA from 1 species
CUUCUUUUAUUUGGGACGAAAAAAGGGAAUUCUUUCCCACUUGACGGUACCAGAUGAAUAAGCACCGGCUAACUCCGUGCCAGCAGCCGCGGUAAUACGGAGGGUGCAAGCGUUAUCCGGAUUCACUGGGUUUAAAGGGUGCGUAGGCGGGUAGGUAAGUCAGUGGUGAAAUCCUGGAGCUCAACUCCAGAACUGCCAUUGAUACUAUCUAUCUUGAAUAUUGUGGAGGUAAGCGGAAUAUGUCAUGUAGCGGUGAAAUGCUUAGAUAUGACAUAGAACACCCAUUGCGAAGGCAGCUUACUACGCAUAUAUUGACGCUGAGGCACGAAAGCGUGGGGAUCAAACAGGAUUAGAUACCCUGGUAGUCCACGCCCUAAACGAUGAUUACUCGACAUUUGUGAUACACUAUAAGUGUCUGAGCG